rnacentral:rRNA from 1 species
UACGAAGGGGGCUAGCGUUGCUCGGAAUUACUGGGCGUAAAGCGCACGUAGGCGGCUUUCUAAGUCGGGGGUGAAAUCCUGGAGCUCAACUCCAGAACUGCCUUCGAUACUGGAAAGCUCGAGUCCGGGAGAGGUGAGUGGAACUGCGAGUGUAGAGGUGAAAUUCGUAGAUAUUCGCAAGAACACCAGUGGCGAAGGCGGCUCACUGGCCCGGAACUGACGCUGAGACGCGAAAGCGUGGGGAGCAAACAGG